rnacentral:rRNA from 1 species
CCCUUAGAUGUUCUGGGCCGCACGCGCGCUACACUGUUCGACGCAGCGAGUCUUAACCUUGACCGAAAGGUUUGGGUAAUCUUCAGCAAAGUCGAACGUGAUGGGGAUCGAUCAUUGCAAUUAUUGAUCGUGAACGAGGAAUUCCUAGUAAGUGCAAGUCAUCAGCUUGCGCUGAUUACGUCCCUGCCCUUUGUACACACCGCCCGUCGCUACUACCGAUUGAAUGGUUUAGUGAGAUCUCGGGAUUGACGCUGGCUAGGGGGCGACCCUUGGCCAGACUGCUCGAGAAACUGCUCAAACUUGAUCAUUUAGAGGAAGUAAAAGUCGUAACA